AACGAACGCUGGCGGCAGGCUUAACACAUGCAAGUCGAACGCCCCGCAAGGGGAGUGGCAGACGGGUGAGUAACACGUGGGAACAUGCCCAAAGGUACGGAAUAUUCUCGGGAAACUGGGAGCAAUACCGUAUGUGCCCGAAAGGGGAAAGAUUUAUCGCCUUUGGAUUGGCCCGCGUCAGAUUAGGUAGUUGGUGGGGUAAUGGCCUACCAAGCCGACGAUCUGUAGCUGGUCUGAGAGGACGACCAGCCACACUGGGACUGAGACACGGCCCCAGACUCCUACGGGAGCCACAGGGGGGAAUCUAGGACAAUGGGCGCAAGCCUGAUCCAGCCAUGCCGCGUGGAUGAUGAAGGCCCUAGGGUUGUAAAGCUCUUUUACCCGGGAUGAUAAUGACAGUACCGGGAGAAUAAGCCCCGACUAACUCCGUGCCAGCCGCCGCCGUAACAC
rnacentral:rRNA from 1 species